UACAGAGGUCUCAAGCGUUGUUCGGAUUCAUUGGGCGUAAAGGGUGCGUAGGCGGCGCGGUAAGUCGGGUGUGAAAUCUCGGAGCUUAACUCCGAAACUGCAUUCGAUACUGCCGUGCUUGAGGACUGGAGAGGAGACUGGAAUUUACGGUGUAGCGGUGAAAUGCGUAGAUAUCGGGAGGAACACCAGUGGCGAAGGCGGCUUCCUGGACCGGUUCGUGACACUGAGGAGCGAAAGCGUGGGGAGCAAACAGG
rnacentral:rRNA from 1 species